GAUGAACGCUGGCGGCGUGCCUAAUACAUGCAAGUCGAGCGAACAGACGAGGAGCUUGCUCCUCUGACGUUAGCGGCGGACGGGUGAGUAACACGUGGAUAACCUACCUAUAAGACUGGGAUAACUUCGGGAAACCGGAGCUAAUACCGGAUAAUAUAUUGAACCGCAUGGUCCAAUAGUGAAAGACGGUUUUGCUGUCACUUAUAGAUGGAUCCGCGCCGCAUUAGCUAGUUGGUAAGGUAACGGCUUACCAAGGCAACGAUGCGUAGCCGACCUGAGAGGGUGAUCGGCCACACUGGAACUGAGACACGGUCCAGACUCCUACGGGAGGCAGCAAUAGGGAAUCUUCCGCAAUGGGCGAAAGCUUGACGGAGCAACGCCGCGUGAGUGAUGAAGGUCUUCGGAUCGUAAAACUCUGUUAUUAGGGAAGAACAAAUGUGUAAGUAACUAUGCACGUCUUGACGGUACCUAAUCAGAAAGCCACGGCUAACUACGUG
rnacentral:rRNA from 1 species